ensembl:lncRNA
CCCGCGCCUCCUCAGGCUGGGGCGCGGGGUCCCAAGCCCGGGUCCUCCGGGGAUGGGGGCCGCGGCCGUGCGGAGCGGGGUCGGGGCCCAUGCCCUAAGGGACUACUUCUCGUUCGAAAGUUUUCGGAGACCCAAAGUUUGCUCCGGGGUUGCGGAAGGAUCCGGCUGUGGGUGCCGCCGCACUCUGCGACAAUUGGCAACGAUUUACAUCUCAAUAGCGGAGGAGGCGCAGGCGGAGCGAGAAAAGGGGCGCCUUUGACAGGCCUGUCCCCGAGAGGACCUGGGCCGGGCAGGCGAGUGUGGGGGUCCCUGGGACAGAGGCUCUGGGAGAAGUCGCGCCAUCGGCAGCCCUGAGUGUACCCCUGGCCCGGGGCUCCAAUCCUAGAAGCCCCCCUGGUCGCAACUUAAAACAUCUGAAAGAUCCAGCCCAGACCCGCCCCCACCUCCGCGGCUGUGAAGAUCGGGGCAUUUGACCCUGAAGGAUGGUGGUGCCGCGGCUGCAGCCUCUGCCAAAGGGACCCUGGGUACCCCUAAGGAAAUGGCCUGGGGCCAGCUCCUGGCCAGAAAGAUUGCGCACCAGCUCCCCCACGAGGGACCCCCUCCGGACGCUCCUUGGUCACCGUCCUACCCCUUCUCCCGCGCCUCCAGCCUAAGGUGGCCCGCGAAGCACGCUGUGGGUCAGGCAGCCCUGGACCCUCCCCCGUGCUCCUUCCGGGUGACUUAUUUCUGCACCACAGCGCCAGAUUUGGGCAUCCUGUGCCAGCCCGGGUUAAGUGCUGGGCGUCCAAAAUGCCUGCCAUUGACCCUGCUAAGCCGGUUUACAGCCUCACACUGGUACAAAACAGCACCCCCUCUCAACACAGGGUAGUGAGCCGGCUUGCGGUUCCCUGGCAGGAGAACCCUCAGGACCGCAGAAAUCCCAGAGGCUGACUGAGAAGCCGCCCUUGCCAGGGAGGCCCAGAGAGGCGGAUUCUGAACCACUGAGCCAUCCGGAAGCCCCUGCGCCACGACUGCUGAGCCCAUGAGCUGCAACUAUCGACCCGUGUGCUGCAACCACUUAAGCCCUUGUGCCCAAGAGAGGCCCCCACGAUGAGCAGCCCGGAGCUGGAGAGCAGCCCCCACUCAGUCGCAACUGGAGAAAAGCCCGAGCAGCGACAAAGACCCACCAUGGCCAAAGAUAAAUAA